UUAGCGGCGGACGGGUGAGUAAUGCUUAGGAAUCUACCUAUUAGUGGGGGACAACAUUUCGAAAGGGAUGCUAAUACCGCAUACGUCCUACGGGAGAAAGCAGGGGAUCAUUUAGACCUUGCGCUAAUAGAUGAGCCUAAGUCGGAUUAGCUAGUUGGUGGGGUAAAGGCCUACCAAGGCGACGAUCUGUAGCGGGUCUGAGAGGAUGAUCCGCCACACUGGGACUGAGACACGGCCCAGACUCCUACGGGAGGCAGCAGUGGGGAAUAUUGGACAAUGGGGGGAACCCUGAUCCAGCCAUGCCGCGUGUGUGAAGAAGGCCUUUUGGUUGUAAAGCACUUUAAGUGGGGAGGAGGCUCUGUUGGUUAAUACCCAAUAGCAGUGGACGUUACCCGCAGAAUAAGCACCGGCUAACUCUGUGCCAGCAGCCGCGGUAAUACAGAGGGUGCGAGCGUUAAUCGGAUUUACUGGGCGUAAAGCGCGCGUAGGCGGCUAAUUAAGUCGGAUGUGAAAUCCCCGAGCUCAACUUGGGAAUUGCAUUCGAUACUGUUUAGCUAGAGUGUAGGAGAGGAUGGUAGAAUUCCAGGUGUAGCGGUGAAAUGCGUAGAGAUCUGGAGGAAUACCGAUGGCGAAGGCAGCCAUCUGGCCUAACACUGACGCUGAGGUGCGAAAGCAUGGGGAGCAAACAGGAUUAGAUACCCUGGUAGUCCAUGCUGUAAACGAUGUCUACUAGCCGUUGGGGUCUUUGAGACUUUAGUGGCGCAGCUAACGCGAUAAGUAGACCGCCUGGGGAGUACGGUCGCAAGACUAAAACUCAAAUGAAUUGACGG
rnacentral:rRNA from 1 species